UGCUGCAGUAUCUGAGGCUUUCUUGUUUGCUUUUCAGUGCUGGCAUGACUUCAUCUUCAGAGGUGGAAGAGCAAGAGUUUGACACCUGGGAUCAGCCACCUAACUCAACAUCUUCAGUGGAUGCCUCCUUGUAUUUACUCAUGACUGAGAAGACUGAAUUUAAUACUUGCGAAUAUAAGACAAACCAACCAAAAAAGGGCAGAACACCUUCUAAAUGAUGUAGAAAUAAAGACAUACAAAUAACAAGAAAAUCGAAGGAUUAACUCACCUAUAAUGAAAAAUUCCUCCCUGGGAUUCUCAUCAUCAUUUUCCAGAAUUUCAAAUGCACACAGUGAAUUUUGAAUGUGGAAGGAAAAUAUAAAAGGCCUGGAAAAUGUACGUGAAUCAACCUUAAAAUCACUGUAUAUUUUUGACAAAUUUUGUGUCAAGUCUUAGACUGACAAUGAAGUAGAUGUCCAUGAAAGUCCUGAAAAGUUAGCUGAAGUAUGCCUUGCUUUGUUCAUGUUCACUACCCAUGGCAACCGUGCACUCCGUGCAGAAGACAGCAUCCAGCUAACAGGGAUAUCUGGCCCAGAACAUUUUGUGUACGGCACAGGGGCACUGUGUAAAACCUGCCUACCAUCUUCUCUGAGUUGCCCUAGAAGACUCCUCCUUUGCACUAGCCACCAGAAAUUUGCAAACAAAAUUUCCUUUUGCUGGUUCCUCUUCCUGAGCAUAUUUGUGGCUAUCUGCACGCACAACAUAAGAUGAAUCUGACUUACAUUGCUACAACACAAUGCAUGUUGCUGACAUUUGUUACUACUUUUGAGAAAACGAACAAGGCAAUAUGCUGCUUAUUACCACGAGUUGGGUUCACAAUUGUUAGUACUCUAGCUAUCGAUAAGGGCAGAGAGGAUGGGGGUCCUAUGUCUGUCAUGCUCUUGUUCAACUUAUUAUCAGGAUGCUGUUAUUUCAAGAUGCCUGCUAUGAGCGGCAGUGAGUAAAGACUGCAACGCUGGUGAGAAGUGCAAUACCAUGAAGCCGCCUUUCAGCAAGAUCCACCAAGCAGCUGCUACAGACAUUAAAAUUAGUAACAGGAAGCAGCAACACACAAGUUAAGAUGGGCACAAGCUGAGGCAGCAAGCAGGCCUUUUCAAAGCAGUGUAUUUGGUAUGUAAUCGAGGUUUGCUAGGUGUGCUGCAAACUCAGGAAAUGCAAUUUGCACCUCCUUGUGCCAGAAACUGAAUGAGUCAGAUCCUUAAAGCUUCAAUUUUAGCUUUCCUUCGGCCUCCUCAUUGUUCUGACUAAUGUGAUGUUAUCAGAGCCAGCUAACUACAGUAGAAAAUGGCUGCACACACCGCAUACCCUCAAGGCUACAGCACAGCCAGGCUGGUGUCAGAGCCUGAACACCCACAGAUUGCUGUGGAGCAGCUGCAGGACACUCCAGCUAACUGUAAGCAAGUAAGUUAUUAACUGCACCAAAAACACACACGCAGUGAAAAAUGUGAACACACUACUGCUAUCAAAGCAUCAGAAGUCAUUAGCACCUCAAUUUUUAGGCAUUAAUUUGAUACAUCUUAAAGAGGCCAGAAGUUCAGAAAGAACUGCACAGGUAUUAAAAAGCUAGUAACUACCCAAAACAGGAGACCUGAAACAGCCAGCAAUUCAACAUGCAGACCUAGCUCUCUAAACAUAACAAACAAACAAAAAUAUCCAGAAAAAUAUUCUGUAUCAUUAGAGGCCUAAGUGCAUGCACUGCAGGACAAGUGUCACACGUUAACUGGUCCUGGACUGUACAAUAGCCAAUAACAAAACCUUUGUCUUUCAUGAAAGCUUCUGAGGAUUUACUGGAUGUUUUCAUCAUUAGCGUAUACAAGAAUCCAGGCUUCUUUCCAACUUAUCCCAUUAUUUACUGUAAAUAAAGCAUUUCACAAAGUAUUUUCUGUCAGUGGGUAGGAUAUUUGUUUUUGUUUCUAAGUGAACUUAAAAUAAUUUAAUGUUUGAAAGAUUU